UUUGAAAGAUGGUUUCGGCUAUCGCUUACAGAUGGGCCCGCGGUGCAUUAGCUAGUUGGUAGGGUAAUGGCCUACCAAGGCAACGAUGCAUAGCCGACCUGAGAGGGGGAUCGGCCACACUGGGACUGAGACACGGCCCAGACUCCUACGGGAGGCAGCAGUAGGGAAUCUUCCGCAAUGGACGAAAGUCUGACGGAGCAACGCCGCGUGUAUGAAGAAGGUUUUCGGAUCGUAA
rnacentral:rRNA from 1 species